AAGUCUUUACGGAGAAAGCUUUAUGCACCAUUGGAUGAGCCUGCACUUGAUUAGUUUGUUGGUGGGGUAACGGCCUACCAAGACUGUGAUCAAUAGCUGAUUUGAGAGGAUGAUCAGCCACAUUGGGACUGAGACACGGCCCAAACUCCUACGGGAGGCAGCAGUGGGGAAUCUUGCACAAUGGAGGAAACUCUGAUGCAGCGAUGCCGCGUGAGUGAAGAAGGCCUUUGGGUUGUAAAGCUCUUUCGUCGGGGAAGAAAAUGACUGUACCCGAAUAA
rnacentral:rRNA from 1 species